rnacentral:rRNA from 1 species
ACGGAAGGCAGCAGUGGGGAAUAUUGCACAAUGGGGGAAACCCUGAUGCAGCGACGCCGCGUGAGUGAAGAAGUUAUUCGUAAUGUAAAGCUCUAUCAGCAGGGAAGAAAAUGACGGUACCUGACUAAGAAGCCCCGGCUAACUACGUGCCAGCAGCCGCGGUAAUACGUAGGGGGCAAGCGUUAUCCGGAUUUACUGGGUGUAAAGGGAGCGUAGACGGUCUAGCAAGUCUGAUGUGAAAGGCAGGGGCUCAACUCCUGGACUGCAUUGGAAACUGUUAGUCUUGAGUGUCGGAGAGGUAAGCGGAAUUCCUAGUGUAGCGGUGAAAUGCGUAGAUAUUAGGAGGAACACCAGUGGCGAAGGCGGCUUACUGGACAAUAACUGACGUUGAGGCUCGAAAGCGUGGGGAGCAAACAGGAUUAGAUACCCUGGUA